GCACAGGCGAUGGGAAGAGGCGGAGGAAGCGCGGGCGGCCGGCCGCAGUCGGGGGCCCUUCUAGGUGGGACUACGAUGGGUGGGGGGCCCGGGGUCGCAGAUGCAGCCAAGAUAUUUGCCGGAGAGAAACCUUAAAGGCUGGAAAUGUAGGCAUCCGGGGCACUGACGCGCUCUCUCCGGAUCUCCUCACUCAUUGGCUGCGGGUAUCUCGCACAGCGAACGGACCGCCCUGCCCUCUCGGUCCCCGUAGGCCGUCAUCGUGCUUCCUUUGGAGACUGUAAUUACCCGUAAAAGCCUGGUCGAUAUGUUUGUUUGCUCCUUAGCUGCCUGAGAAUUUUUGAGAAGUAGCAGUAAGGUGUAUGAACUGAAAAAACAAAACAAAACAAAACCCCACAACAUAAGAGCUAUUUCUCUGGUGCCAGUAUGUAUUAUAAAAUGUCCAAGAGAAUCCAGUCAUCCCUUCUGAUGCUUACCAAACCUGCAAGUGGUAGGAAUAAACAUCUAAUGGUGCAGCCCUGACCAAGUGUUGGAUGGGGACUAGUGGUUUCCCACUCCUCCUCUUUGGGGUGACUUCCUAAAAUAGACUGUCUGUUAAUAAGCUUUUGUCUCCAGCUCUGCUUUUGGAGAGGACCCAUGCUGAAACAAAUUGAAAUAUGUUGAAAUGUGUGCAUUCUCACUGAAUAUCUUUUUUUUUUAAAUUAAACCUUCAAAAAAUGAAAUUCAUCAUAUCUCAGAAUUUUAUGGACUACAUGCUCUAUUAAUAGAAAAAGAAAAGACAAUUUUACAGGCUGUAAAUUUGAAGAUGUUGUCAAUUAGGAAGAAUGAUUUCCUUGUGCAAUAAUUGCUGGCAUUUCCAUCAAAUUACAUUUUUACAUUACAUCAUCUAAAAUGCAAGCCUUUCUAAACAAUUUCAAUUUUCGUUAAACUUUGACACUUUAGAUGAUGCAUGUGAGCACUA